UCCCUGGCAGUCCAGUGGUUAGGACUCCAUGCUUUCACUGCUGUGGGCCCAGGUUCAAUCCCUGGUCAGGGAA
rnacentral:tRNA from 1 species